GACGAACGCUGGCGGCGUGCCUAAUACAUGCAAGUUGAGCGCUGAAGGUUGGUACUUGUACCAACUGGAUGAGCAGCGAACGGGUGAGUAACGCGUGGGGAAUCUGCCUUUGAGCGGGGGACAACAUUUGGAAACGAAUGCUAAUACCGCAUAAAAACUUUAAACAAAAGUUUAAAGUUUGAAAGAUGCAAUUGCAUCACUCAAAGAUGAUCCCGCGUUGUAUUAGCUAGUUGGUGAGGUAAAGGCUCACCAAGGCGAUGAUACAUAGCCGACCUGAGAGGGUGAUCGGCCACAUUGGGACUGAGACACGGCCCAAACUCCUACGGGAGGCAGCAGUAGGGAAUCUUCGGCAAUGGACGAAAGUCUGACCGAGCAACGCCGCGUGAGUGAAGAAGGUUUUCGGAUCGUAAAACUCUGUUGGUAGAGAAGAACGUUGGUGAGAGUGGAAAGCUCAUCAAGUGACGGUAACUACCCAGAAAGGGACGGCUAACUACGUG
rnacentral:rRNA from 1 species